UGACUUUGACACUCCGAAGAGUGAAGCUUGUCAAUUUUGUACCUAAAUUGGUUGCAAUAAUAUUUUAAGUCAUAUAUUUUGUUAAUAUUUAGAAAAUAAAAUAUAAAAUUGCAGACAUUUCAUAUAUUUUUUAUUCGAAAUGAGUACGGGAAAAGAAUUCGUGGUUUGCCGUACGUGUCUAACUCAGUGCAGUGACGAUUAUAAAUCAAUACAUAAACAAGGCAUCAUAUUGGGUGAAAUUACAACAUUAAUAGAAAUAUUAAGAUUUUGCACCGAUAUAGAGUACCUCGCUGAUGACCCAUCUUUCCCAACACAUAUAUGUAAACUGUGUUUGCAAAAUUUAGUGAGAUCGUAUUCCUUCAAAAAACUAGCAAUUGAAACAAAUGAAGCUCUACAUAAUCAAAAACAACAGCUUGCUUGCAGUGAAGAUCCACAUUCAAUGAGUGAGUAUGUGUUUGAAGAGCAACAGUACCUUGAGGAAAACGGUGAGGCAGAAGAACUACAAGAAUUAGCAAAUGCUGCACAAAUGAGACAAUCCAUAGAAAACGUGAAUGAUGCCAGUUAUGUUACCUUGUCAGUCUUGCACAACUCUGAAGAUGAAGAAGAACCAAUGGAGUUCAAAAUUCAACGUGGCGAAAUAAUCGAUGAUGGAGACGUGUAUUUGCAAGAAAUUAUAGAACGCCAUGAUGGCAACACGGAAAAUGAAGAAGAAUACAUGAUCCAGUCAGCCGAUGAUAAUAUGUCUGAGGAGGCUUUCGAACCAACAUAUGAUGAUGAUACUAUGUCGACUGAAAAUAACGAAACCGAUGAUACAAGUAGAAAAAUACGAAAAAUACUAAGAUCGGAUAAUAAAAUAUCAAGUGAUGCUAACAACGACAAUGGUACAUUGGUCAGAAAAAGAAUUAAACGUGCUCAUGGUCAAUCAAGUGAUCCGCUUUUCAAGUGCAAGAUUUGCAAAAAACAGUUAAGCAAUGCGAAUUCGUUCAAGUACCACAUGCAAUUGCAUUCGGAUCAGACUCCCUAUUUAUGUAGUAUGUGCGGUGCAGGCUUUAAGACACGAAACGCUUAUGAUGGACAUUUAAUCACACAUAACCCCAAUAAUCCAAACACUUGUAAGAUAUGCGGAAAAGCAUAUCGCCAAUCGUCGUCCCUACGCACACAUAUGAUGUCGCAUACAGGUGAAAAACCUUUUCAAUGCAACAUAUGCGGCAAGGGAAUGACACAAAAAUCUGGUUACAAGAAGCAUAUGUUAACACAUACAGGCGAAAAGCCACAUGCCUGUGAUGUGUGUGGUCGAGAAUUCCGAUAUUCCAGCAAUUUAUUUGCACACAAACGUUGUCACACGGGCGAGAAACCUUUUGAAUGUGACAAUUGUGAGAAAUGUUUCCAAACAGCAGAACAAAGAAAACGACACUUACUAGUUCAUACAGGUGAGAGGCCAUUUAGUUGUGAUAUAUGUGGCAAAUCAUUCAAACGUCGCACCUCACUCAUGACACACAAACAAAGCCACGAAGACGAAAGUGAAGAGCAAACUGCGUACAUAGAGCAAAGAGUUUAUAGAUCAAACGCUGUAGAAGUUCUUUAAAAAACUAAAUAAAUUUUAUUUAGAAUUAAAGUAAAGGUAAUUAUAGUGUAAGUGUUCAGAGUUUUAUCGCUUGGAUUUCGUAGAUAAGACAGCAACUUACUAAUAUUUUUUAAUUUUAGACUUUUUGACAUUUACUUUAAGACUUUUUAUGUUAG